UACGAAGGGUGCGAGCGUUAAUCGGAAUUACUGGGCGUAAAGCGCGCGUAGGUGGUUUGGUAAGCGAUAUGUGAAAUCCCCGGGCUUAACCUGGGAACUGCAUGUCGAACUGCCAGGCUAGAGUAUGGUAGAGGGGUGUGGAAUUUCCUGUGUAGCGGUGAAAUGCGUAGAUAUUGGGAGGAACACCAGUGGCGAAGGCGGCUCACUGGACUGGUACUGACGCUGAUGCGCGAAAGCGUGGGGAGCAAACAGG
rnacentral:rRNA from 1 species